rnacentral:rRNA from 1 species
CAAUAGCGUAUAUUAAAGUUGUUGCAGUUAAAAAGCUCGUAGUUGGAUUUCUGGUGGGAGCGAUCGGUCUGGCGCUUAGCGCGAGUACUUGCAUCGUCUCCGGCCAUCCUUGGGGAGAGUCUGUCUGGCAUUAAGUUGUCGGGCAGAGGAUCCUCAUCGUUUACUGUGAAAAAAUUAGAGUGUUCAAAGCAGGUUUAUGCCGUUGAAUAUAUUAGCAUGGAAUAAUAAGAUAGGACUUUGGUACUAUUUUGUUGGUUUGCGCACCAAAGUAAUGAUUAAUAGGGACAGUUGGGGGUAUUCGUAUUCCGUUGUCAGAGGUGAAAUUCUUGGAUUUACGGAAGACGAACUACUGCGAAAGCAUUUACCAAGGAUGUUUUCAUUAA